rnacentral:lncRNA from 1 species
GGAAAUGCUUACUGAAAUAUAUGUUCCAUUUAGACUCUUCUAAAGGGAGUGCAAGAAAAAUCACUAUGUGAUGAACAAAAUUGGGGGCAAUACUCAAUUAAAUCAGGUCCAAAACAUCAUAUGAAAAACAACCCAUUAUUCGAAAUCCAUAUGACAAAUUGAUGCUACAUUAAAGAGAGGAAAUAGACAAUAAUCCAUAAACAAAAAUUAUUAACAACAUGAAAAUAUGUUGUUAAAUCGGAGAAAUGAAUUCACAAACCUGCUGCACUGUUGAAAAAACCUCUGCAUCUACUUCCCCACUAAGGCCUUAGUGGUCGACGCCGGUGCUGUUGGUGACGAUGAGGCCAAGCGACGGGAGGCGGCGGAGGAUAAGCAACCAUGAAUCAACAGCGUGAUCGCAGGGCGGGUGACGAUACUGUGUGCGCCGCUGCCGGAGCUCCAGUUCCUCUACGGCCUCCCUCAACCGAUCCUCAGCUUCCCGAAGGCGUGUCUCCAAGGCGGCGCCGUCGGCGGCCUCGAGCGGAGACGGGACAGAUGAGAAGUUGGGGGGUUCAGAGAGAGAUCUCUGCAUCUGCAGUGCUAUCAAGUGAAGAAGAGAUGAAGACACGAUUGAAUUUAAUCAAAAAAGGAACGGAAGAGGAAGAGGUAUUGAAGGGUUUGGAGAGAGAGAAAGGAGAGUUGGGCGGUUUAGAGAGAGAAAGUGAGAUUUUGAAACCAUUGGGUUGAUUGAGAAGAUGGAAGAGUGAGUAAGGGUAAGGGUAAGGGUAAGGGAAAGGGAAAGAAACUGAAAGUGAAAGAAGAAGAGGAAGAGAAAGAGGCACCGCCGGUUUUGGAAAUGAA